rnacentral:snRNA from 1 species
ACACUCAGUUUAAGAUUGUAUAAAUCUUUUGCCUUUUACUAAAGAGUUCCAUGGAGAGGUGCAAUAGAAGUUUUACCCAAUUUUUUGAUGCUCUGCAAAAGCGGGGCG